rnacentral:misc_RNA from 1 species
AUGGGAUUUGGGUUGGGUAUGCUUGAGAUGAAUGGUAGAUCUUCUGGCUACCCCAUGUAUCCAAUGCCCUCUGUGCAAGGAGGGCAUUUUCCCUCACCUCCUAUUCCUGCUUCCACCGCUUAUCCAGGAAUAGCUGUAUCUAAUCGUCACGUAUUUGCACAUCCUGGUCAAGGACUUCCAAUGUCAAUUCCUCGAGCAUCUCUGGGUCCUUUGGCCGGGCAACCAUCAACAGGUGCUGCUGUUCCUAUGAAUGUUGCAAGAGAAGGGGUUCCGGUGGAGAUACGGGGUGCACAGCCGAAUUUGGAUUCCAAAACUCCAGUACACAAGAACUCACAGAUAGUCCAAAAUGCUGAAGCUAGCUGCCCACAGAAUCAGACAUGCAGUCAGGUACAAGCAACAAAUGAGGUUCUGGAAAAAUCAGCACAAAAAAAUGACCAACUCCCUGAUGUCAUUGGUAGUGCAGCAAAUAGGUUGACCAACCGAACAAAUGUGCCCGGAAAUGAAGCUGGUCCCAGUUUGUAGACAACUGUAGGUUCUGAUCAAAUGACUGUUUGGUUCCAUCCUAGCUGGGAAGAAGUCAUUUCUCAUUCAGUGGAAGGUAGCCUCUUUUAACUCCGACCGUUGUGCAGUUCUGAGAAUUUAUUGUUACUGGAGAUGAAUGGUAGAGUUCCCGAAUGAAGUUGGUUUAUGCAACUGCCAUCAGAAUGUAGACAAAUGCAUGCACAGACCUUGGUAAUAUAAAGACACCAUAAGGUUCUCCUUCCAAUGUAACAUCAAAGAUAUCUAAAAGCAGGGAGCAGCAUCUCAACAAUGUAGUGUGUAUCAGACAUCAACGUUCUUCAAAUAAUAAAAUAGCGCAAGCAUUUCUCUUAUAUUCACCUGUAUGU